UGCGCAGUGGAGUAGAUCGGUGCAAUCUUGCGGGCUUCAGGUGCCAGCAACCGCCCUCGGAUCUGCUCGACCAUCGAGCCUGCGCGC
rnacentral:tRNA from 1 species